AGAUUACUGUCGAAAGUUGCAGCGUGUUGCUUAUAUUUCGUUCGGAAAUAUCGAGGCAUUUAGUUCCAGAGGCUCGGCAAAACGCGACCAUGACAGUGGAUACAUCUAUUUUGCCGAGAAAUAUUUAUUCAACGUGCGGGUUGCACCGAAUCCAUACGACGAUGGUUGCCGAGCAACAUCUCGGUGCUACAGAUCGUACACGAAAUCAGGAAUUCCCCACACACUUGAAGUUAGUGACGGAUUACAUUUUCUUCUCACCAAAAUAAGCUAAAAUUAUUGUUGAAAAGGCAUAGUGAAAAUAUAAGUUAAUAGAGGGGGGAGAGAGAGUAUAAUAAUCAUUCUUUUCCCAGUGCAGAAUUUUUUGUUUAUGUAGUCGUGCAAUGAAGUUACAUUUAUAAUAAUGAUAAUCAUGAAUAUUUAGUACACACAUACCUCCUACUGAUAGAGGAACUAAUGACAUUUGAAAAGUAUCUACACGCAAAAAAGAGACAUUCAACAUUUAUUUAUUCUUGAAAGGGCGUGCAAAAGAUAAAUGUCUUUAUUUGCAUAUUCCACAAGAAAUGGUUUCAGAGCAGAUUGUUCCAUUUGGAGUAGAAUGGGCAGUAAAUAUCAAGUGGAUACCACUGUGCUUUCAAGACAAAUUAUUGUUGUUCAUCAAGUAAUAAAUAACAUCUUUUAAAAUUUAAUGUUGUCAUGAUUAUUACAACAUUGUAGUCCACAGCAUUAUUUCCAUUUGCCUUAAGCAAGAAGCAGACUUCCAUGGUAUUAACAAAAUACAGAAAAUAUCGAAGGAGAAGUACGCUGGCUCAUCAACAGAAACUGCACGAUAACUUUGUCAUAAAUAUAAAUGAAGCAGAGGCAUUUCCUGACCUUCCCUUAAGGAAUUAGAUUGUCAUGUCAGGAGAAAUUCCUUCUUUAUCAGAAGAAAAGUAGGACCUUUUCAACUCACUCAAAGUUUGUUUUCAAAAUUGUCAUGUAUUAUUUAUUAUUAGAUACACUUUAUUUUAAAAGUGGAAAGUACAUUCAACAUGUGUACAGUCGUCUUUAUUUAUCACAUUUUCUUUUAUGUACUCAUAGAUACAGUUUAUGAUGAAACCCUUUUGAGGGAAAGUUUCGGCAACAAACCAAAUACCCUUUUGCACUAGAGCACACAGUUUUGGCCGUCCUUUUUAUGUGACUCGUGGAUUUAAAAAGUUGCAUGUUGAUAUUAAACAAUAAUUUUGUAGGAUCAUCAUUAGCAUUUAUAUGGGUAAGGGUGGUGUCAUAAACAAUGGAGAAUGUGUGCCUGUUUUAAAAGAAUUUUUUCUUUUUAAUUACUAUUGUAUAUUCUCUUCCAAAGUGGUAGGUAUAGCCCAAGAUCCACAUGUGCAUUUAUUCUUUAUGGAGUUCAAUUUUUUUUUUUUUUUGCAGAUCACUCAGCAAGAAUCUUUUCAGAUAGAAAGGGACACAAGGCUGCAGUCAAAUAUUUUUAAUGUGUUAUAAUUUGGAAAUCCGGUAUAAAACUCUAUUUUUCCAUAAUCUUGUGAAAAACGUUCUAACCCAAAGUUUUCGAUUUUUCUGCUGCUCUCCAUUUGCAAAUGAUGUUCUAAUUGUCGUAUCCUCUCUUGAAGAACUUUAUUCUUCUUUUGCCAAUGAGAGCUGCUCUUCAACAGACUCUGCAGCUGCUGUUGCAGGCUCUGUCUCUGCCGUUGCAGGCUCUGUUGUGGGCUUUGCAUCCCCAUUUUUGCUGAUAAGAAAAAACAUUUUACCACGUGAAAUGGCUGAUAUGGCACAGCUCACUUAACAUUGACAGGGAUUAAUCUACAGUAACUUCAGAAGUUAACCUAUUAAAUUCAUCAAAUAACAUGCCGCUUGCAAGAUAUUUUGAUAUUCCAAUCUUUUUUUCAUUUCAUGGCUAUCCAAGAAGCGUAUUUUUUUUUUUUUUUUUUUUUUUUUUUUUGCUUUUUGAGGGUUUGAUGUGACAAAAAGAAGUUAACUGAAAAUAUGUUUUGACACCUGUCAAUAGUCAAAAUGUCUAAAUAAUAAUGACACAAUUGAUGUUCCUGCUCUUUGUUUAUGUUAUUAAAUAUUUUUAGCAAUGAAAAAAUUAAAUUUGAUAAUAAAAGUCACUUUGCAUUUA